UUUGGUGCAAGGGAAAAAAAAAGUUUAGAAUGCUCCCGUGCGUAGAGACUGGCUAGUAAAACGGGACAAGGUACGACUACGACAUUUUAUUGCUGUCGUCUGAUUGGGUACUCCAUAUACUACAUAUUAACUUAUAAUUUAAAAUAAAGUUACUACAUAUUAAACUAUAAUUUAAAAUAAAUAAACUUUUAUGUAACUUUUUGAAAAGAAGUAAUUAUGAUUGUGCUUCUGAGAAUGAUAGCUUUAAUAAAGUUGAUUUUAGUUAUUUCAUUUUGUUAAAAAAACAUGAACAUCUGCAAUAAAUGAAAAUUACCAAAAAUAAAUAUUUUUUUUGGUAAAAUAAAUAUUUGUUACGGUAUAUUAUUAAACAAACCAUUUUAAUGUUUUUUAAAUUAAUAAGUGAUUUAAAUUACUUAUUGUAUAAAUGUGUUUAUACUAGAAAAGAACAAAACCAAAAAUAUUUAGUAGUAUAUUAUUCUAAGCUGAUCAAACCAUCCAUUACAUUAUUUUGAUUUGGAAUUAGAAGUCCACGUGAGUGUUUAAUAAAUAAUAAUCCAUUAGAAGUUUCCCUUAGAUUUACUAAUUUACUAAUAAAUAAAAAAUGAAUAUAUUUUAAAAACCAGUCGGUUUAUAGUGUAUCCAAAAUCAAAAGCAAACCAAUUGAUACAACCUAUAUAUUGGCUCUAGCCUCUAGCUCUCACACAUUCAAAGCACGAUCUAGCCCUAACUUAGCGAGAGAAAGUUUCCAAUUCUCAUCGUGGAACCAUGGGCGAAGGGGGAUAUGACAGACGUCUACUGGAACAUAGAUGACUACCCAAUCCCUGUUGGUGCAGAUCUUGGUUCUAUUAGAAGUAACAUCAAAGAAUCUCUUCGUCUAAUGGGCUUUCAUGGGUAUGGGGACAUCAAUGUGCAUUGUAAGCAACUCAAGUGCGACGUAAAAGACGAGUUGAGCAAGGCCAGAAUCUUUUAAGAACCUAGCUUUAGAUAAUGAGAGUGACAUGCAGUGAGUGACUUCUUUAAUCCACUUCAUUUUUUUUCAAGUGUGUUUUUUUUUACUUCUUAAUUGGCAUAUAUUCUAUUGUGGAAGGUUAGCUAUUUCGCUCAACUGCCUAUUUGUUGAAUGAAUAUAGCUCUGUUUCUAA